rnacentral:lncRNA from 1 species
GAAAAUUGAAAUCACUCAGGCUGGAGAAUUAGAGAGAAAACCAUGACACUAUGGCAGGCCAACUUACUAGCUUUCAAGUAAGGUAACAUCUCAGACCAUCAUAGGUUUUGACAGGGGAAACUCUGAAGGACCACAGGAGUUGGAGGUUCCACGUAUCUCUAAGUAGUAACAUACGAUGGGUCCAAAACAGAAGAAAGAGAACUCAAGAUUCCCGAGCCACAGAGCUGUUGAUUGGAGGCUGACUCAGAGAAACCCUGGAUUCAGUGACAUACAGAGACAACAGGGACUUAAUCGCCUUCUGGACAAACAUAAUCUAUGCGACCUCCUCCCCAUAAGGUGCCAUAAGCAAAGUGAGCGGUUUGGAGAGAACACUGUACAUGACUUCCUGACUACAAUGGCCUGUGGCUGAUGAAGUACAGCACUUUGGUGGAAACAGGUACAGGAUCAGUAUGGGUUUUAAUUGAGGGGCUCGGCACCAAAUGACAGACUUGACACAUCCACCCCCACCAUGGAUGCUGUCCGUCCACUGUUGCACAAUGUCCUUCAGUGUCUAAUUUACAGAUCCAGCUGUAUUUCCCCUUCCACCUGCAUCCCUGAAGUUCCUCCCACCUGAAAACUUCACCUGACCCAAGAAAGCAAAGGAAAAAACCCGGAGAGCCAGCUCAUAGUCUGGUUCACUGUUUAACAGCCAGAAGCCAGAGCCUGCGUACUAGAAGUGGAUGCCCAGGAAGUACUUGUGAGCUGACUAAGAAUGUAAGAACGCCACCCACUUCAUUCAGGAAAGUGAGGCAGGAUUCCAUGGAGUAUGAAUGACUGCACAUGGAACAAGCAGGUUAUCAUUUAUAUUCAGCAAGGGACCUCCAUGAACAGGACAUUUGGGGAGCUGCUAUCAAACAUCAGAACUUCUGACACUGUGCACACAGUCUUAUAUUGUGCCUUGUCUGUUGUGAUGUCUCACUACAGUAAUGAUUAAGAUGAUGAGCACUUAUGCGUUGAUAUUGCAAUAUGUCUGCGUAAGAACUAUCGCUAAGGCAGGUUAUAUUAUUACCCUCAGUGUAUAGGUAAGGAGGUUAGACUGAUAACUUACCCAGUGUCACAUAGGUAGUAAUGGCCAAACUAGAGUUGGAACCUGUCUGCCUACUCUCCAAGCUCAGGAUUGACUUGAGCACAAGGUCAAUGGAGGACCAGCCCUGUAAGAUUUGGAAGUGCAACACAGAAGCUCCAGGAAGGAUCCCUAGCUUCAGGGGAAUUUUGAUUCUCUCAGAGAGAAUAUUGUUCUUUCAUAAUAUCAUCUGCUUUGGAAAGAGUAUUCAAUUCCACAAUGCCAACAAUGAUCGCAUAGUACCUCUGUGGAGGGCAAGACCAACAUGAGCAGCAGAAGCCCUGGAGGGCUUCCUGGAGGAGGUGACUUUAGCGACACCUUCAAAACCAUGACAACGUGCACCUGGGUCUUUCUGAGGAGGACAGUGAACACUAGGAGAGGAGGGAAGUGAAAGGAGAAGCCGGGCAUGGGUGGGACUAGGCCAGAGCCCAGUGUGGUGACCACAGGGCCUCAGCAGUGCUAGGUAGACAGUGGGGUGUCACACUGCAGAGCCCCCAGAAGCCAAACAGAGGAGGCUAACUUUGAACAGAGCGGAGAGUCACCAUGGUGGUCAUCUUGAACAGGAGGGUGUUUCUAAAAAAGGGAGGUUUGGGGGAUUGCCCUGACAGAAAAUUGGAGAUGGGGGAGGUUCUUUUAAUAUGGUGAGGACAAGGAGUGGCUGGAACUGAAGCAUGUCUAGGACAAGGGCUGUUUUGUCUCUUGCACAAAUCCUGUGUUUAGUACCUGCAGUCUGCUCGUUAAUAAAGUGUAUGCUUAAGUUAAUGACAUUCAUUUUUAACCCUGGUCUCAGGCCAAUCAUGUUCACAGCCAAGGCCAUUUCCUAACAUUCGUAACUCCCUAAAGAAUAAAAUGAAGGAAGUGUAAGAUCAUUCUUUCUGAUGCCUAUGGACAAGCUCAGUGAUGUGAAAUUCGCUUUCCCUUUGGUGGUGGGAGAUAAACAGCAAAGCAUUUAAUUACAGAGAGACCUUAAGAAUCAGGAGCCAUGGUGCUACAUGAUAAUCUCUUUGAUUCAUAAGUAAAAUAUUCUUGAUUUUUCUGCAAUUAUAAAAUUCAAAAAGUCCAAAGAACUUCAAAUGUUUAAUCCUCUGUGAGAACUGUUUUACCCACUAAAGUGUGUGGGUCUUGUUGAACUGUGAAAUCUGAAAAGUGCAUACCGUAAGAUGAACCUAGACAUUUACACCAACAAAAAUGAUUUAUCAUGUUGAAGUUAACAGCCCAAUUGCAUUUGCAGUUUGUAACAAUUUGCUCUUCAUCUUUGCACAUGACAAAUUCAAUUAACUUGUCACAAAUUGCCUAAUCAAGAAAAACUUCAUUGUCAUAAAAACUAAUAAAAAGCUCUCCCAGAGAAAUUCAUAUUUGGAUUUUAGAAAGCAAAUUAAAUACUUGGAAGCAGAGCAACUAGCCUUUUGUCAGUAUAAAAACAUGUCAGUAGGAGCCUGUUUCAAAGGUAGAAAUGCAUAAAACAGAAAAAAAGGAAAGGGAAAUUCAUAGCUCAGGAUUGAGCCAUAAGUAAUCCACAGGCUGCCUCACCAGCGCCUUGGGCAAUGGCUACAGGAAGUCACUCUGUGACUCUGAAAUGGGGGUGUAACACCACACAGGAGUGGGAGUCUCCAUUAAUAAUACAUAACUGAUUAGAAAAGGCAUGUGGAAGUGGAGAACCCGAACAUUCAUAGGUAUUAAUUCAGGACACAUGUUUAAAAAAUGAAUCUAUUAUUUAAAAACAUCUUAACUUCUCAAUAGGCUGGUAGAAAAAAAGUAGUAUUUUCUAAUAGAAAGCCAGCUGUAUGUUAAGAUGGAAGGAUG